UACGUAGGGACCGAGCGUUGUCCGGAAUCACUGGGCGUAAAGGGCGUGUAGGCGGUCAAGUAAGUGGAAUGUGAAAGCCCCCGGCUUACCCGGGGAUCUGCAUCCCAAACUGCUUGGCUUGAGUAUGGGAGAGGAUAGGGGAAUUCCUGGUGUAGCGGUGAAAUGCGUAGAUAUCAGGAGGAACACCGGUGGCGAAGGCGCCUAUCUGGCCCAAUACUGACGCUGAGGCGCGAAAGCUAGGGGAGCAAACGGG
rnacentral:rRNA from 1 species